rnacentral:rRNA from 1 species
UACGUAGGGUCCGACGUUGUCCGGAAUUAUUGGGCGUAAAGAGCUCGUAGGCGGUAUGUCGCGUCUGCUGUGAAAGACCGGGGCUUAACUUCGGUUUUGCAGUGGAUACGGGCAUGCUUGAGGUAGGUAGGGGAGACUGGAAUUCCUGGUGUAGCGGUGAAAUGCGCAGAUAUCAGGAGGAACACCGGUGGCGAAGGCGGGUCUCUGGGCAGUUACUGACGCUGAGGAGCGAAAGCUGGGGUAGCGAACCGGAUUAGAUACCCCUGUAGUCCCUGA